UAAAAGUGCUGUCCAGAUGCAAGACCUAUUAGAUGCGCAAGAAUGUUAGGUCCCAAAACAAGUAUGCCUGUCAACAGCACUGGACUCGGUGCUGACAUUGAACCUCCUGUAACCAGUACCGGUCUCCCUGGUGUGGCCAUGGAUGAAGGCAUCCGAUGCAAUCACUGUUGAGGGAGGUAGCCCCUCUGCAAAGAAGCCACUUAAUGUCAAAAACUCAACCAUCGGACAUCAUUACGCAUAAGUGUAGUGUCACAACUACUCUCUUUUUUUUUGUCACGACUACUCUACUAGCUCUUCUUUUUUAAUUCCGCAAAAUGAAAUAAGUUUUCUUGCAGCACUGUGUUUCUGUGUUUUUCGAUAAUAAACGGAAUAAUAUUAUUAUAUGAAGGGAAAUUAGCGGAAGGAGGCAUGGCGAGCCAGCUACCA